UACAGAGGGCGCGAGCGUUGUCCGGAAUCACUGGGCGUAAAGGGCGCGUAGGUGGCCACUAUAAGGCCGCGGUGAAAGUUCGGGGCUCAACCCUGAAUCGGCCGCGGCGACUGUAGGGCUUGGGCACUGUAGAGGCAGAUGGAAUUCCGGGUGUAGCGGUGGAAUGCGUAGAGAUCCGGAAGAACACCGGUGGCGAAGGCGGUUCUCUGGGAAUGUCCUGACGCUGAGGAGCGAAAGUGUGGGGAGCGAACAGG
rnacentral:rRNA from 1 species